UACAGAGGGGGCAAGCGUUAUUCGGAAUUAUUGGGCGUAAAGGGCGCGUAGGCGGCUUUGCAAGUGGCGGGUGAAAAUCCCUCGGCUUAACCGAGGAACUGCCUGCCAGACUGUGAGGCUUGAGACCGGGAGAGGUGAGUGGAAUUCCCAGUGUAGCGGUGAAAUGCGUAGAUAUUGGGAGGAACACCAGUGGCGAAGGCGGCUCACUGGACCGGAACUGACGCUGAGGCGCGAAAGCGUGGGGAGCAAACAGG
rnacentral:rRNA from 1 species